CGGCCUCUUGCCUCCGAGGCGUCUCGUCCUGCAGCUGCUGCUGGAGCCAUACCUCCGAGGCGAUUCGGCCCAUUCCGCAAGGGAGGCGAAUGAAGCUCAGAAAGUCUCUUGUCCUCCCAGGUACACAGUACCUGAGGUGGCCUUGUCAGAAUUUAAACCCAGAGUCUUUGAUUUAAACCAGGGCACCGUGUGGCCUCUGAUCAUCGCUACCUAUUAUCAUUAUAAAAUCCUUUGUGAUUCCUGCCAGGACCGGCUCAGGAGCGAUGCAUGUGGCAGGAUCCGCUCUCAGCUCUUGCACAUUUAUAGAAGAUGUAGCCUAGCACGUGACCUCCCAGCCAAAGGCCACAUUUCACAGGCUCCCUUGCAGCCACGUGUGACCAUGGGGCUGUUCUGGCCAUUGGAAUGUGAGUGAGAAUAAUGUAGACAGUUUCCGAGGCAUACUUUUUAUAAAGGAAAAGAAGGAAAACGUCUCCACUUCUUUCUCCCUACUGGCUGGAAUGCAAAGUUGAUGGCUAAAGCCAUGGCAGCCAUCUCGGACCAUGAGACGAAAGAUAGAACGAGACAGAAGAAGCCUGAAUCCCAACUCUGCGGAGCCUCCAUAUGUAAUUCCAACCACUUACGAAGACUUUUAUACACAGAGGUAACAUUUUUCCAUCUUGUUUAAGCCAUGCUGUUUUGUAUUUUUUUGUCACAGCAGCCAAACUUGUGACUUCAUAGCUGAGUCACCAGGACACAGGAGCCUGUGACCUGCUGCAUUUAAAAGAGCAGACCUGCUCUACUUGUUGAGGCUUUUUAUGUGAGAAAUAAACCAUCCUGCUUAAACUGGUUA